rnacentral:rRNA from 1 species
GAUGAACGCUGGCGGCGUGCCUAAUACAUGCAAGUCGAGCGAACAGACGAGGAGCUUACUCCUCUGACGUUAGCGGCGGACGGGUGAGUAACACGUGGAUAACCUACCUAUAAGACUGGGAUAACUUCGGGAAACCGGAGCUAAUACCGGAUAACAUGUUGAACCGCAUGGUUCAACAGUGAAAGACGGUCUUGCUGUCACUUAUAGAUGGAUCCGCGUCGCAUUAGCUAGUUGGUAAGGUAACGGCUUACCAAGGCAACGAUGCGUAGCCGACCUGAGAGGGUGAUCGGCCACACUGGAACUGAGACACGGUCCAGACUCCUACGGGAGGCAGCAGUAGGGAAUCUUCCGCAAUGGGCGAAAGCCUGACGGAGCAACGCCGCGUGAGUGAAGAAGGUCUUCGGAUCGUAAAACUCUGUUAUUAGGGAAGAACAAAUGUGUAAGUAACUAUGCACGUCUUGACGGUACCUAAUCAGAAAGCCACGGCUAACUACGUGCCAGCAGCCGCGGUAAUACGUAGGUGGCAAGCGUUAUCCGGAAUUAUUGGGCGUAAAGCGCGCGUAGGCGGUUUUUUAAGUCUGAUGUGAAAGCCCACGGCUCAACCGUGGAGGGUCAUUGGAAACUGGAAAACUUGAGUGCAGAAGAGGAAAGUGGAAUUCCAUGUGUAGCGGUGAAAUGCGCAGAGAUAUGGAGGAACACCAGUGGCGAAGGCGACUUUCUGGUCUGUAACUGACGCUGAUGUGCGAAAGCGUGGGGAUCAAACAGGAUUAGAUACCCUGGUAGUCCACGCCGUAAACGAUGAGUGCUAAGUGUUAGGGGGUUUCCGCCCCUUAGUGCUGCAGCUAACGCAUUAAGCACUCCGCCUGGGGAGUACGACCGCAAGGUUGAAACUCAAAGGAAUUGACGGGGACCCGCACAAGCGGUGGAGCAUGUGGUUUAAUUCGAAGCAACGCGAAGAACCUUACCAAAUCUUGACAUCCUCUGACCCCUCUAGAGAUAGAGUUUUCCCCUUCGGGGGACAGAGUGACAGGUGGUGCAUGGUUGUCGUCAGCUCGUGUCGUGAGAUGUUGGGUUAAGUCCCGCAACGAGCGCAACCCUUAAGCUUAGUUGCCAUCAUUAAGUUGGGCACUCUAAGUUGACUGCCGGUGACAAACCGGAGGAAGGUGGGGAUGACGUCAAAUCAUCAUGCCCCUUAUGAUUUGGGCUACACACGUGCUACAAUGGACAAUACAAAGGGUAGCGAAACCGCGAGGUCAAGCAAAUCCCAUAAAGCUGUUCUCAGUUCGGAUUGUAGUCUGCAACUCGACUACAUGAAGCUGGAAUCGCUAGUAAUCGUAGAUCAGCAUGCUACGGUGAAUACGUUCCCGGGUCU